GACUCGGUGGCGUGACGGUAGCGCGUCUGACUCCAGAUCAGGCGGGUGCGUGUUCAAAUCACGUCCGGGUCA